UAAUGACCAACCCACCAAUGAUGCAGGUUAGAGAACUUUCCCCGUCAGUUGCACCCACGAGUCAGCCCAUAGAAUUCCAUCUCUGCGAUCACACGGGACAGAGACAGUGGCACGCGCGAGCUAACUGAAACUAAUGUGAGAAGCUACAGCAUCUUGCUUACAUUUACCGAUGUGGAGAUCGACUCGUCUUUAGCGUAUUGCUGACUGCCCAUCUUAUUGACUGAUCAUCAAUGCUGGCUGAGUACAAAUAAAUCGGGUGAUUUGUGGAUUGCGCUCUGACGGCUAGUUCAUUGUCUUCUGUGGUGCUCUCCAUCUGACGGACGCACAACGACAAUAGCUGGCUUGGAUAAGCCAUAGUUUGAAGAUGAAUAACAAACCAGAAAAGGAGAAUGAAUUGAAUCACGAGUACACCAACCACGAGGAGGAGGUCAGGACGUUAUUUGUGAGUGGCCUCCCCCUGGACAUCAAACCGAGGGAGCUUUACCUCCUCUUCAGACCAUUCAAGGGUUAUGAAGGCUCCUUAAUUAAGCUUACCUCAAAACAGCCGGUGGGGUUUGUCAGUUUUGACAGUCGAUCAGAGGCCGAGGCGGCAAAGAACGCCCUCAACGGUGUCCGCUUCGACCCGGAGAUUCCCCAGACCUUGCGGCUGGAGUUCGCCAAAGCCAACACCAAGAUGGCCAAGAGCAAGCUAGUGGGCACCCCUAACCCUCCCCCCAAUCAGCAAAGUCCCGGCCCCCCCUUUAUCAGCAGAGACCCCUAUGAGCUCACAUGCCCUGCCCUCUACCCGGGCAGCCCUGACGUGUGGGCCUCGUACCCGCUCUACCCCGCCGAGCUGUCGCCCGCCCUCCCACCCGCUUUCACGUACCCCUCCUCGCUGCACGCUCAGAUUCGCUGGCUUCCACCGGCAGAUGGCAGUCCCCAGGGCUGGAAGUCCAGGCAAUUCUGCUGAAAAAAGUGUUCCUUUUGUGUGAUGGUGGCUAGGACUGGCCUUGAUGGAGUGUUGUGUGGCUUCAGCAGUCCAACCAGGGGGGUUCCAGACCUCUCUAGCCCUACAGUGGACCACUGGUAAAAACACCUCCCUGGAUUUAUGGACACUCAAGACCCCUUCUGCCUCCAUCACACAAGAUCAUCCUCUCUACCUCCCUCCCUCCCUCCCUUCUCUCCUCUCUUCCUCCCUUCUUUUUUUCUACUGUUACGUGCCAGAAGAAGUACUGUUAACACCUCUUUUGAAGAGCCCACUGUAAGAGCUACGUUCUCUGCCAGCCCAAACCUUAACACCCUCCUCAGCAGAGCUUUGAUGUUCACGUUGGUGCAGGUGUGCAGUUAGUGUGUGUGUCUGUAGGUUUAUGAUGCUUAUGAGGGUGUUAAGGGCGCUGGGGUGGGCCACAAUCAUGGUUUUAUAGUACUCAUAUGAGCAACGCCUUUCAACUGGGGUGAGACUGAAUGACCUGUAAAAUUUUAACCAAAGGAGCUCAUGUGUGUGACACCUCGUGACGGAGUGUCUUCAGUCUGAAGUGCUUACUCCAGAAGUGAACGCUGGAGUCACUGAUGAAAGAAAUAGCAAAGAUUGAGAUUGCUAUCGCAAGACAAUCCCUCAGCUGAGCUCGACGACAGCAGAGACUUAACUUCAGGGUUUUGCAGUGGGGCGGAGCCAGAUAGCACACACACUAACACACACACACACACACACACACAUUCACAUUCACACACACACACACACACACACAUUCACAUUCACACGCACA